rnacentral:rRNA from 1 species
GUGAAAUUGUUGAAAGGGAAACGCUUGAAGUCAGUUAUGUCGUCCAGGGAUCAACCUUGCUUUUGCUUGGUGCACUUUCUGGUUUGACAGGUCAGCAUCAAUUUUGACUAUUGGAAAAAGGCUUAGGGAAUGUGGCAUCCUUGGAUGUGUUAUAGCCCUUGGUCAUAUACAAUGGUUGGGAUUGAGGAACUCAGCACGCCGCAAGGCCGGGUUUUUAACCACGUACGUGCUUAGGAUGCUGGCAAUAUGGCUUUAAUCGACCCGUCUUGAAACACGGACCAAGGAGUCUAACAUGCCUGCGAGUGUUUGGGUGGAAAACCCGAGCGCGUAAUGAAAGUGAAAAGUUGAGAUCCCUGUCGUGGGGAGCAUCGACGCCCGGACCAGACCUUUUGUGACGGUUCCGCGGUAGAGCAUGUAUGUUGGGACCCGAAAGAUGGUGAACUAUGCCUGAAUAGGGUGAAUCCAGAGGAAACUCUGGUGGAGGCUCGUAGCGAUUCUGACGUGCAAAUCGAUCGUCAAAUUUGGGUAUAGGGGCGAAAGACUAAUCGAACCAUCUAGUAGCUGGCUCCUGCCGAAGUUUCCCUCAGGAUAGCAGAAACUCAUAUCAGAUUUAUGUGGUAAAGCGAAUGAUUAGAGGCCUUGGGGUUGAAACAACCUUAACCUAUUCUCAAACUUUAAAUAUGUAAGAACAAGCCGUCUCUUGAUUGGACCGCUUGGCGAUUGAGAGUUUCUAGUGGGCCAUUUUUGGUAAGCAGAACUGGCGAUGCGGGAUGAACCGAACGCGAGGUUAAAGUGCCGGAAUUCACGCUCAUCAGACACCACAAAA